GCGCCAGUGACUGCAGCUCGUGGCCUUCUCCACUCUCUGCGUGUGCGCACGUGUCCAUCCAUAUUUUUUUUUGUAGCUUCUUAUCCUGCCACCGCAGUGUUUCCACACGCACACACACACACACACACACAGACACCGCCCGCUCAAAGAUUCGGGAGCACCCUCUGCACACGAGGGUAUUGGUCUCCCUGCCCCUGCGCACCGCAUGGACAACUACUCGGCGACCGGCUUCGAUGGCUACGCGGUGAAGGGGUGCUUGUUUCCUAGUCGGACGACGCCACGUAUGGCGCGGGACUGUGCCUCGCCUGCGUCUUGUGCGGGUCCACGUUGAUAGCCAAGUACCAGUACGGCGGCAACGAAGCCCAGCGUGGCAGCGUGAAAGUUGGUGUGAAUGCGCUACCCGUAGAUUGUCUCGAACCUUCUGCACCUUAUCUCCUCUUGUUGCGGCUCGUCGAGCGUCACGCCGCCUGUGAUCUACAGAAUACGCAAGCACGUUCCCCUCAAUACCCUCUACGGGCUGCACGAGUACUUCGCGCGGGCCUCAUCGCCAUAGAGGUCUGCCUGUUCGCUUUCUCCAAGAACCCCGAGCGCAUUGACGGCAUCUUAAUUGUGCUCCGAGGUCGUCGAAACCUGUCGUUUCUGCGGUGGAUCUAUCACGUUCCCACUUUCCUGCGCUGCUCGCACGCCUAAGCUGUCGGCAGCAGCAUGCUGAGCUACGCCGCGGCGCUCUACUAUUCGGUGCACAUCGUCGUGCACCUAGGCGUGGCCGAGGGUGAGGUUCGAGAACACGGCGCGCCCGUUCCUGAUGUAGAUCACGCCGAUGCAGACUGCGCGGGUGGUAACUGAUCGUGUGCUCGUGUCCAUCAUUAGUUAGAACAAGGCGCUCGGCCACCAGGCUCGCCGCCCGGAGCUGAACCCGCUGGCGUGAGGUGGCACUUCCUGGGACACUGCACGCGUGCAGCUGCUCCUCGCCGUCGCGAACCUCUUCCUCUUUUCCCACAUGUUCUUGCACGUGCACAAGAAGUCGCGCUUCGAUGGCUCCAAAAAGAAGGUGAGCUAAUAUAGACGGGCCGAAGGACGUCCGCAGGGGCAGUGGCCGCACGGGCGCAUGUGCGCACAGGAAGCUUGAUGUGUGAGAACGCCCACGAGAAGGGGAGACAAAGAGAGAAAUGAGAGGUAGCCGGGACGCCAUGAGCCGUGGGUGAUUGAAGAAGAGUCACCCCCACCCCCACCCCCGGGCGUGUGUGUGUGGGGGGAGGGGGGGAAUAGAGGGCGAGAGGAAGCGCGUUGCGCUCGCAGUGCGGCGGUGACGCUUCGACGCACCGUGUCUCGCUCGCUCGCCCCUGCGCAUGCGCAUACACGCAGGUGCAGAGACUCACACACGGACAAGCUCGUACACCAAGACACAUUCGCACAGCUCUGCCCUUCACACGCCCCCUGCCCUCUCCCCGCCUCUACGCCACAUGCGUGUUCUUCUCUCUCAGGCGUUGUGGUCACAUUCUUUCAAAUUUGACAAGAAAACAUUCCGCAAACCUGCUCACUUUUUUGACUUGUUGCCGCUGUUACCUGCUCCACCUAGCGUCAUCUCUUACUUCCUUCAUGUUUGCAGCGCGCGCACGCACACACCUCAUCGUUUUGUGUGCUGGCUUCUCUAGUAGCCUUGCAACGUCAACACCACCUCCGCUGCCUCUGUCGUUGCACCGCGUCGCGGCAUACAGAAUUCGGUGCCUCCUCUUCGUUUUCUCUCGUCGUCCCUUGCUACUCUGGGCCAUUUUUGUUUCUCCCAGUGCACUCCAUGCAUGGACAACACCUUAGCCGCUGCCCCCGAAAACAGAGAAACAGACACACACGACAGCACCCUUCGCUCCCUUCCUCUCAAGCACCUCACACACACCUCCGCCCACCGUCGAGCACGCACGCACCUGUUUCGCUUGUUUUUUGGUGAUUCAAGCGUUCCCGAAUGUACGUGUUUCCUCUUCUUUCUUGGUCAUGGAUGUGCUUUACGGGUCCAGACGGUUAGGGUCGAGAUGGCUAUGCUUGUGUUGGGAAGCGGGGGUGAGAGAGUGUUUGAGGAGUCCGUCAAUUUAGGUGGGGUCUGUGUGUGCACGCGUGCGUGAGCUUUUCGCGUGCAUCACUGGCUGAGAGAGGACAAGCACAAAAAGGGAAAAAAAAGAAGAGAAAACGAAGAGCGCGGCGGAUACCCUUCUCUGUGUGUGUGUGUGUGUGCGAGGGGAUGAGCCCUUCAUGGCCGCCGCCUUCUCCCCCUUCCCCCCCUCCCCCGCGCUACCCAGUACCUCUGCAGCGGCCACCCCCCUCUUAUCGGCGUGCCUCAAAGACACCUGUGCAAGCCAAAGCCCGCCUUCGCACCUUCUCUCUCACCGGUGUUGUGCGACCCCUCACCGCCU
rnacentral:misc_RNA from 1 species